rnacentral:rRNA from 1 species
GUCCACGCCUAACUAUGUCAACUAGCCGUUGGAUCAUUGAAGGUCUUAGUGGCGCAGCUAACGCGAUAAGUUGACCGCCUGGGAGUACGGCCGCAAGGUUAAACUCAAAGGAAUUGACGGGCCCGCACAAGCGGUGGAGCAUGUGGUUUAAUUCGAUGCAACGCGAAGAACCUUACCAGGCCUUGACAUCUAGCGAACUUUCCAGAGAUGGAUUGGUGCCUUCGGGAACGCUAAGACAGGUGCUGCAUGGCUGUCGU